AUUGAACCACAUGUUAGGGCAUGUUUGGUUGCCCGAAAGUAGAUGAAGUGAAAAAAAGUUAUUUUUGUAAAAGUGACUUUUCAAUUCCAUUAUUAGGUUGACUAUAAAGUGAAAUAUUAAUACAAUAUUUUUGAAUUUUGAUUAGUAAAUUAUACAUAAUGAGGUGAAAAUAUAAAUAAACGACUUCUAUUCUUUAAAUUGAAAAUUUAUAUUUAUAUUUAUAUUUAGAAUUCAAAAGUAUAUUUUAAAAUUUAAACUUAAACUUAAAUCU
rnacentral:lncRNA from 1 species